rnacentral:rRNA from 1 species
CAGCCGCCACGGGAAUACGUAGGGUGCGAGCGUUAAUCGGAGUUACUGGGCGUAAAGCGUGCGCAGGCGGUUAUGUAAGACAGAUGUGAAAUCCCCGGGCUCAACCUGGGACCUGCAUUUGUGACUGUAUAGCUAGAGUACGGUAGAGGAGGAUGGAAUUCCGCGUGUAGCAGUGAAAUGCGUAGAUAUGCGGAGGAACACCGAUGGCGAAGGCAAUCCCCUGGACCUGUACUGACGCUCAUGCACGAAAGCGUGGGGAGCAAACGGGAUUAGAUACCCCAGUAGUCCCUGUCUCUUAUAC